CCCAUGCAAGUCGAACGGCAGCACGGGUGCUUGCACCUGGUGGCGAGUGGCGAACGGGUGAGUAAUACAUCGGAACAUGUCCUGUAGUGGGGGAUAGCCCGGCGAAAGCCGGAUUAAUACCGCAUACGAUCUACGGAUGAAAGCGGGGGACCUUCGGGCCUCGCGCUAUAGGGUUGGCCGAUGGCUGAUUAGCUAGUUGGUGGGGUAAAGGCCCACCAAGGCGACGAUCAGUAGCUGGUCUGAGAGGACGACCAGCCACACUGGGACUGAGACACGGCCCAGACUCCUACGGGAGGCAGCAGUGGGGAAUUUUGGACAAUGGGCGAAAGCCUGAUCCAGCAAUGCCGCGUGUGUGAAGAAGGCCUUCGGGUUGUAAAGCACUUUUGUCCGGAAAGAAAUCCUGAGGGCUAAUAUCCUUCGGGGAUGACGGUACCGGAAGAAUAAGCACCGGCUAACUACGUGCCAGCAGCCGCGGUAAUACGUAGGGUGCGAGCGUUAAUCGGAAUUACUGGGCGUAAAGCGUGCGCAGGCGGUUUGUUAAGACCGAUGUGAAAUCCCCGGGCUCAACCUGGGAACUGCAUUGGUGACUGGCAAGCUAGAGUAUGGCAGAGGGGGGUAGAAUUCCACGUGUAGCAGUGAAAUGCGUAGAGAUGUGGAGGAAUACCGAUGGCGAAGGCAGCCCCCUGGGCCAAUACUGACGCUCAUGCACGAAAGCGUGGGGAGCAUACAGGAUUAGAUACCCUGGUAGUCCACGCCCUAAACGAUGUCAACUAGUUGUUGGGGAUUCAUUUCCUUAGUAA
rnacentral:rRNA from 1 species